rnacentral:rRNA from 1 species
UACGUAGGGCGCGAGCGUUGUCCGGAAUUAUUGGGCGUAAAGAGCUCGUAGGCGGCUUGUCGCGUCGACUGUGAAAUCCCGCGGCUCAACUGCGGGUCUGCAGUCGAUACGGGCAGGCUAGAGUUCGGUAGGGGAGACUGGAAUUCCUGGUGUAGCGGUGAAAUGCGCAGAUAUCAGGAGGAACACCGGUGGCGAAGGCGGGUCUCUGGGCCGGUACUGACACUGAGGAGCGAAAGCGUGGGUAGCAAACAGG